UGGGGAAUAUUGCACAAUGGGCGCAAGCCUGAUGCAGCCAUGCCGCGUGUAUGAAGAAGGCCUUCGGGUUGUAAAGUACUUUCAGUCGGGAGGAAGGUGGUAAGGUUAAUAACCUUGGCAAUUGACGUUACCGACAGAAGAAGCACCGGCUAACUCCGUGCCAGCAGCCGCGGUAAUACGGAGGGUGCAAGCGUUAAUCGGAAUUACUGGGCGUAAAGCGCACGCAGGCGGUUGAUUGAGUCAGAUGUGAAAUCCCCGGGCUUAACCCGGGAAUUGCAUCUGAUACUGGUCAGCUAGAGUCUUGUAGAGGGGGGUAGAAUUCCAUGUGUAGCGGUGAAAUGCGUAGAAAUGUGGAGGAAUACCGGUGGCGAAGGCGGCCCCCUGGACAAAGACUGACGCUCAGGUGCGAAAGCGUGGGGAGCAAACAGG
rnacentral:rRNA from 1 species